rnacentral:misc_RNA from 1 species
UUUCCGUAGGUGAACCUGCGGAAGGAUCAUAAUUGUAUAACCGAGGUGCGAGGGCUGUCGCUGACCCGAAAGGUCGUGCACGCCCGAGUGCCCUCACACACAUCCAUCUCACCCCUAUGUGCACCACCGCGUGGGUCCCCCUUUGGCUUGUUCGGAGGGGGGCUUACGUUUUCACACAAACUUUGUAUGCAGUGUAGAAUGUAUUUUUUUGCUUUUGCGAUCACGCAAUCAAUACAACUUUCAACAACGGAUCUCUUGGCUCUC